rnacentral:rRNA from 1 species
UGCGUAGGCGGCGCGGUAAGUCGGGUGUGAAAUCUCGGAGCUUAACUCCGAAACUGCAUUCGAUACUGCCGUGCUUGAGGACUGGAGAGGAGACUGGAAUUUACGGUGUAGCGGUGAAAUGCGUAGAUAUCGUAAGGAAGACCAGUGGCGAAGGCGGGUCUCUGGACAGUUCCUGACGCUGAGGCACGAAGGGUCAGGGAGGCAAACGG